rnacentral:lncRNA from 1 species
CCCUCUGUGUCUCUACACAUAGAUGUUCAUUUGGUGUCCAGUGGGACCAGGAAUAGACUCUCUCUCUCUUGCCUCUACCCUUGUUAAGGUCCUGAUCAAUCAAUGACUGGACCAUUGCCACAGUCUCCUAACUGUCCCUUCCAGCCUUUUUUUUUUUUUUUUUUUUAAACCACAGUUGUUUUUCUCUGCCACACCUACCCUUUAAUAAAAAAUAAGCUAUCCAAACCUUUUAUAUUAUGUUUAGGGGCCAUUAUCACCUUAUUUACAGCAAUCUCUGCUCUAACACAAAGUAAAACAGUCAUAGCAUUCUCCACCUCAAGCCAGCUGGGCCUUGUAAUAGUCACAAUUGGCAUUAAUCAACCACACCUGGCAUUCCUUCACAUCUGCACCCACGCCUUUUUUAAAGCUAUACUAUUAAAGCCAGAGAGCUUUGUAAAAGGCAAAUCUAAUAGAUUACUCUCUGUCUCCCUGUUUAAAGUACUUUGGUUGCCUGUUUUAGCACAACUUCUACCUGUAGGAACU